CCUACGGGAGGCUGCAGUGGGGAAUAUUGGACAAUGGGGGGAACCCUGAUCCAGCCAUGCCGCGUGUGUGAAGAAGGCCCUCGGGUUGUAAAGCACUUUCAGUGAGGAAGAACGCCUGGUGGUUAAUACCCAUCAGGAAAGACAUCACUCACAGAAGAAGCACCGGCUAACUCCGUGCCAUCAGCCGCGGUAAUACGGAGGGUGCGAGCGUUAAUCGGAAUUACUGGGCGUAAAGCGCGCGUAGGUGGCUUGAUAAGCCGGUUGUGAAAGCCCCGGGCUCAACCUGGGAACGGCAUCCGGAACUGUCAAGCUAGAGUGCAGGAGAGGAAGGUAGAAUUCCCGGUGUAGCGGUGAAAUGCGUAGAGAUCGGGAGGAAUACCAGUGGCGAAGGCGGCCUUCUGGACUGACACUGACACUGAGGUGCGAAAGCGUGGGUAGCAAACAGGAUUAGAUACCCUUGUAGUC
rnacentral:rRNA from 1 species